AGCUUCCUGAAUCCGUGCGGAGGUUUCGUCAGGCCCCAAACCGUUAGAGCUGAUCAGACUUCCAAUAUAAGUGAGGUU
rnacentral:pre_miRNA from 1 species